rnacentral:lncRNA from 1 species
GGGGUGGGUGGGCAGAGAAUGUGGCUGCAUGUAAGGAAUAAGCAUGGAAUGUAAAAGGCAGAUCAUUUGGGGCAUUUUAGAACUAGUUCCAGACUUUGGACUUUAUUCUAAUUGCUGUGAAAAACUCUGAAGAAGUUGGAGUUCACAUUUCCUAUAUAGAAUUAUCAGAACACCGUGGAAUGCACUGGGCUGCUAACAAUGGAUGAUGGAGACCAGCUAGAAGACAUUAUUUAAGGAAAGGCGGAGUUCUGGGUGGCAGGAGUCUGAGAGUCUAGAAAAGAUUAGAGGAUGGCGUUUUCUUCUCUUAAUCUACCCACUCAGCACUAGCAACUUUAUGGAAGCGAACCGGGAGGCCUCACUUCUCACUAUGAAUCACAUGGCAGGGGCUUAUUAAAACCCUGCUCAGAAAUGUCCUACACUCCAUAUUUCAUCCAACCCCCAGGUGAACACAAUAGAUCUCACCAGGAUAUGAAAAGAAGCUUAGUUUCUUAGUAAAUCAAAUAUAUCUCACUGGAUUCUGAGACCAGGGAAUUAAGAAUCAACACGAUGCUAAGAUAUGAAACCUUCUGGAUGAUACAAAACUGCCUACAGGCAAGACUCAGCGCCAUUGAAUGAAUCAAAAGAAUGUACUUGGAGUUUGUAUUAUUGCUUCAGACAUGCCAAACAUUUGAGCCUAUCUACUCUCAGAUUAUCAUCAUGGACCCUCCAUAAAAGUGACCCUUACUCAACUCUGGUUUGGAAAAAGAUGGUCCUCCAUCUGACGUCUCAUAAGAAGUAUUCCUGCCCAGAUGAAAUGAAGGUACUCCUAGAGCCUGAUUGCCGUGAUUUCAGACGACGAUCAGUUGACAAGGAAAGAGAAUCCUAAAGUUCCUGACCUUUCAGGAAGUGUACUGGAUGUGAGGAUAGCUAUAGCAAGAAUUCAUGAAACAGACAGAAUCUUCUGGAAUAUGAGGAUCUUCUCUUCUGAAUAUGAGGAUCAUAUUGGGCAUGAAACACACAAGGGAGGAAUGUUCUGGCACCGGCACCACACGUGGUCACAAUAACGACAGAGGCUGAAAUCCAAAAAAAAAAAAAAAAGAAGAAGAAGAAAGAAAAAAAAAUUCAUUAUGCAAAAUAAAAUUCUGUGCUGAAAUAUUGCAUGGCUUCCAUAACAGUUGUAUUAUUUGAAAAAUAACAGAGCUGCAUGCCUCUGUUUUAUGUGAAAUUUUGGCUUGGUGUUUCUCUCAUUUUCAAGAAUUUUUUAGUCUUUCUUUCAUAUUUAAUUAUUUACUAAACUGAAGAAUACCAAAGAAAGAUUAUUUUGUCCCACUGAGAAAAUGUCAAUAUUAUACAGUUUAUAUUAGCUUCUCUCUCUUUUUUUUUAAACAGCAAAACAAAAACAGAUUUCUA